rnacentral:rRNA from 1 species
GGCGCAGUUGAUCAGCCAUGCCGCGUGAGUGAUGAAGGCCCUAGGGUUGUAAAGCUCUUUCGGCGGGGAAGAUAAUGACGGUACCCGGAGAAUAAGCCCCGGCUAACUUCGUGCCAGCAGCCGCGGUAAUA